rnacentral:rRNA from 1 species
GAUGAACGCUGGCGGCGUGCCUAAUACAUGCAAGUCGAGCGAACGGACGAGAAGCUUGCUUCUCUGAUGUUAGCGGCGGACGGGUGAGUAACACGUGGAUAACCUACCUAUAAGACUGGGAUAACUUCGGGAAACCGGAGCUAAACCGGAAAAUAAUUUUGAACGCAUGGUUUAAAAAGGAAAGACCGUCCUGCCUGCAACUAAUGGUGGAUCCGCGGUGCAUUAGCUAGUUGGUAAGGUAACGGCUUACCAAGGCAACGAUGCAUAGCCGACCUGAGAGGGUGAUCGGCCACACUGGAACUGAGACACGGUCCAGACUCCUACGGGAGGCAGCAGUAGGGAAUCUUCCGCAAUGGGCGAAAGCCUGACGGAGCAACGCCGCGUGAGUGAUGAAGGUCUUCGGAUCGUAAAACUCUGUUAUUAGGGAAGAACAUAUGUGUAAGUAACUGUGCACAUCUUGACGGUACCUAAUCAGAAAGCCACGGCUAACUACGUG